GGUUGUUUGCUUCUUUUUUUAGUUGCAGCACUGUAGAAACUCAAGGCAACUGUCAGGGACUCCAUCAGAGGGCAAAUGACAGUGGGGGGAAAAAAGCUAGAAGAAGGAGUGUGCAGCGGAAUGUCCCUAAUCUGAAAGCUGCUACACUGACUGCCUAUCAACAUGCAAAUUAAUCAUCAAGUGACGAGUCCCAUAUUCGCUCAAAGUAAAAGUCUUUAAAGCAUGCUUGCUUGCUCUGCUUGGAAGGAGGCACUCUGCUCUGCUUGGAAGCAGUACUUUCAGGAGGACAACAGGAGUUAUGUGGGCCCUGUUUUCCUGCCCGAAUCCUGUGGAGGAGGAAGCACUCACGUUCACAUGCUAUUCGUUGUUUCAAGAUUAUUUAAGAAGCCACUGCUGUUGAACUGGCAGGGGAGCUUUCCUUCAGUGACCUUUGCCAGAGCAGCUGACUGGUGUGCCCCAGCUGCAUGCCAUCAUUUUCUUGGGAAAGUUUUAAGACUGUCAGAAAAACGAGCAUCUUCUUUCCUAGCCCUUACUGAUGUGUAUGGGCUUUGCUGGCCUUUCCAACUCCAGUGUGCAAGGGGUUGUUUGUUUUCCUUUUAAAUGUUAUCCUGCCAUCCUCCUUUUUUAACAAUGCUGUAUACACAUGAAGACUUUCUGUAUAUUCAGUGUGGCACAUGGACGGAGUGGAUGCUUUGAACUGCUUUUGCAACAAUGGAUUCUGCUUGACUGAUAAUGAAACCAUGGGAUAGACCUCAGGGAGUGGUAAAGAGAUGAGGGAUCCUGAGGUCACUGUGCCAUGUGGGCCAUCCACUGAAUGUGCCAAAGAUUGUGAACACAAGUCUUCUCACAAGUAAUGCUGGUUGAAGUUGAAGAGGCUGAAAAUUCUCCUGUGCUUCAUGCAGUCCAUUGUUACAUGCUCUUGCCUCAGAGCUGAAGUCAAAGUUUCUGUUUGUAACAGGAUCAUCAUAUCAUUAAGGAAUUGAGGCUCCAUUGCUUUAGGUGCUGGGUCUGCAGGGGAAGCCACAUGAGGAGCAGCACUUGGUCUGUUCAGCCUGAAGAAGAGGAGACUGAGGUGGGACCUCACAGCAGCUUGCAACUUCUUCAUGAGGGAAAGAGGAGGGGCAGGCACUGAUCUCUUCUCUCUGGUGACCGGUGACAGGACCUGGAGGAAAUGGCCUGAAGCUGAGUCAGGGGAGGUUUAAGUUGGAUAUUAGGGAAAGGUUCUUCAUCCAGAAGGUGGUUGGGCACUGGAACAGGCUCCCCAGAGAAGUGGUUGCAGCCCAAACCUGACAGAGUUCAAGAAUCAUUUGGACCAUGCUCUAAUGCACAUGGUGUGGCUCCUGGGGUGACCUGUGCAGGGCCAGGAACUGGAAUGCAGGGAUCCUGAUGGGUCCCUUCCAACUCUAUGUCUCUAUAGCUGUGCAAAGUGCAGAGUUGAAAGAUUACAUUUUCUGUUUUGUAAAAUGUUGGGAAUUAUUUCAUUUUGGAGGUAAAUCUAUUUUGAGGGCAUGGUUAAAGAGUGAAAAUGGUGGUGUUGCUGUGUUGAUGGUCGAACUUGAGGAUCUUAAAGGUCUUUUCCAACCUUAAUGAUUCUGUGAUUCAAAAAUAAGCGCUACUAUCUUAACCUUUCAGGAUGCUCUGGUGAAAGACGAAUAUCUGGAUAUGUUUGAACGCCAGAGGAAGAAUUUUCACGCAAGAAGGAGCUUACACCAAAGUAAUGAAGAGUUUGGCCCCUGUCACCGUUAUUUUCCUUGGCUCCCACAGAGACAGAAGGGGGUGGAGGGAAGUAACCUAUCCCAUUUCUGUUUGAAAAUAUUUAGCUUGAGUGAUGUGAAGAUUUCAGUAGAUCUGUGACAAGAUCAAAGACUAUAAAUUAUUUAACAGUGGUUCUACUUUUGUGGAAUUAUUUAAAGUAUCAUAAUUGCAGCUCAGCUUCCCAGCCUUCAUUUUCAAGUCUGGAAUUCUGUUGGGAACUAUCAUAAUCACUGAAGAGUAUAAUAUUACAGGCUGGGUAUAAAAAUAUCUUUUUAAUGACUAGCAAAUUAGUGAAAUGUCUUGACCUAAAUCUAGACCAAACAGAAGACAGUGUUUUUAUGGAGGGGUAAGAAAGACUAAAUUGUCACCACAUUGUUAUUCUUGUUAAAUUCUCCACUACUUAAAAUGUCAGUUGAUUAGAUAAAAUUUGUAACACUGUGCAUCAAGGCAAGUGAUGAAGGGCUGUGUGUUACAUAGUAUCUUGGCAUUUCUGCACUUUUGUUUUCCUUUUAAUGGUAGCAUGCACAUUCUGUGGCUGAAUCUUGGAAAAAUAAAGGCUAUUCAUUACUUUAGUACCCUGUGAACAAUAGAGAUCAUGAAAGGCAUCGCAGGGAACUCCUCUGUGUGUUGGCUCUUCAAGAAGCGAGAUGAACCCUUGGAGGGUUUUCUCAUCGGCUUCAAGUAAUUGUUGUGUGCAUGAUCUGCCUGGCUAAACUCUUUGUGUCUGACUUAAAUAAGAUCUAGAAGAGACAGGAAUGUCUCACUCCAUACUGUGUGAUUCAUAGUGCCAACCAUGUCUCUGUUAACAUAGAAAGAGGAAUUUAUUCUCCAAAUUCUGGUUUGCAAAUGACUUAAAGGAAACUGAGCCCUUGUGUUCUUGUAUGCAAUCAGUUUUCAGUGGCAAAAUACUCCAUCUGAUGAAUUUUGACCAUACAGUGAAGAUACCAUGCAGAUCUCUGCAGAUUAGGACUCUAUUUCCAACUACCUUGCCAAUUUUCACUGCGAUUUGGGGCAAGUCACUGGCCUUUCUGUCCUUCAUUGCCUCAAAAUCUAAUCAGAAGGGACAACACUGACUGGUUUACAUGUUAAGCAUUAUGGUGCUGCAGCUGCAUUUGCGGGGCAGAGUCUGUAAGGAGAGAGGGAAAUAAGAGUGGUGGUGCAGACAGGCUGUCUGCAUUUUGCCUUCGUGCCAGGGUACAAUAGAUAUUUCUGAGGCAGAGACCACUUUGUGUCCUGUCACAGAACUCCUUACACAAUGAGGCUGCAGUCUGUAACUCUGAGCACCAAAGGGAGCAACAGGAGCCCAGAGAUAACACAAGGCAGGAACAGAGGUGGUCUCCAUUCUUGCCUUCUCCCCACGUGGCCAGGGCCCAUGGUGCUCUGCCUUGCAAAGACAAAUGACAAAUUUGUUCAGCACCUGGCUGCUAUG